UACGUAGGGGGCGAGCGUUAUCCGGAUUUACUGGGUGUAAAGGGAGCGUAGACGGCUGGUCAAGUCUGAAGUGAAAGCCCAGGGCUUAACCCCGGAACGGCUUUGGAAACUGAGCAGCUAGAGUGCUGGAGAGGUAAGCGGAAUUCCUAGUGUAGCGGUGAAAUGCGUAGAUAUUAGGAGGAACACCAGUGGCGAAGGCGGCUUACUGGACAGUAACUGACGUUGAGGCUCGAAAGCGUGGGGAGCAAACAGG
rnacentral:rRNA from 1 species